GGAGGGCUUGGAGGAGGUGUUACUGCAGUAUGGAGAACUGAAGUACAUCAAGAUCUGCCUACACCUAGACACUGAACACUCUAAAGGUAUUGCCUUUGUUCAAGUUCAAGUCUAAAGAAGCAGCAGAGAAAUGCAUUGCUGCCGCAGAGGACGAGUCAGAGAGUGGGGGUAUCCGUGUGGAUGGUAGGAAGCUGAACAUCGUAGCGGCGAUAAGCAGAGAGGAUGCCGUCAAACUGAAGGACAAGAAGGUCAAAACGCAUACAGGGACCAGGAACCUCUACCUGGCUAGAGAGGGAU